rnacentral:rRNA from 1 species
AGAGUUUGAUCAUGGCUCAGAUUGAACGCUGGCGGCGUGCCUAACACAUGCAAGUCGAGCGGUAACAGGUGUAGCAAUACAUGCUGACGAGCGGCGAACGGGUGAGUAAUGCUUCGGAAUCUGCCCUUUGGUGGGGAAUAACUAGCCGAAAGGUUAGCUAAUACCGCAUAAGACCUACGGGUGAAAGCAGGGGAUCGCAAGACCUUGCGCCGAUGGAUGAGCCGAAGUCGGAUUAGCUAGUUGGUAGGGUAACGGCCUACCAAGGCGACAAUCCGUAGCUGGUCUGAGAGGACGACCAGCCACACUGGGACUGAGACACGGCCCAGACUCCUACGGGAGGCAGCAGUGGGGAAUAUUGGACAAUGGGGGCAACCCUGAUCCAGCGACGCCGCGUGUGUGAAGAAGGCCUGCGGGUUGUAAAGCACUUUUAGUGGGGAUGAAAAGCCUAGGGUUAACACCUCUGGGUCUUGACCUAACCCACAGAAAAAGCACCGGCUAACUCUGUGCCAGCAGCCGCGGUAAUACAGAGGGUGCGAGCGUUAAUCGGAAUUACUGGGCGUAAAGCGUGCGUAGACGGUUAUGUAAGUCAGAUGUGAAAGCCCCGGGCUCAACCUGGGAAUUGCAUUUGAGACUGCAUAGCUAGGGUGCGGAAGAGGGAAGCGGAAUUUCCGGUGUAGCGGUGAAAUGCGUAGAUAUCGGAAGGAACACCAGUGGCGAAAGCGGCUUCCUGGUCCAGCACCGACGUUCAGGCACGAAAGCGUGGGGAGCAAACAGGAUUAGAUACCCUAGUAGUCC